CACACGCGGGAAGCGAAGGAGACGGUUCUCGCGAUCACACCACUGCCCAACCAUUGAAGCAAAGAAAAAGAAGUGAAUAGGCGCGUGCCUCAGUAGGCUGAGGAGUUGGGUGCCUGUCGUCUUCUCACCCUUUCUCUUCUCAUCUGAGGUUGCACGGCUUCGACGGCAGCUUUGAUCGCUGGCAGGCAGGCGCCCCUCCCCCCUUCACCAAAACGAAGUGCCUUCUGGAGGCUCCUUUCACGUGUACCCCUCGCCUCCCACCCACAACAGCAACAAAAGCGGAGCGGAGGACAUCCUCAGUAGCCCUGCUGGCAGCGGGUCUAGAGAGAGCGAAUCGAGAGAGCGACACGGCAUCGUAUACACACAACAACAAAUAGAUAGACCCAAAGCGAGGGGGAGCGAGGCUUCGGGUCUGAAGCUAAGCCCUCGCCUCCUCCUUCCACCUUGCCGCUUGCGCACUGGUGUAGGUGCCUGGCCACCCCACAUUUUUUUGUUCGGUUCUCUCGUUUGUUCGUGAGCCCUCCGCGCACUGUUGCUUUGCUUUAUUACCUUCUACGCGCACUGUGCACCGGAGACGGACCCUCACCAUCCCCACACACGUACACAUAACGGACACCGCCAACACGCAGUGUACCGUGGCCAUGGUUCUGAAUUUGUUCUCCGGCGCGGCGCUCAACGGGCACGGCAGCACGAACCGUCGCGGGCGAGCGUCUUCCUCGCUCAGCAGCACGGGUACGGGGCGCCGGCCUCAGCAGCAGCGUCGUCAGGCAAGUCGCAGCGCGACAGACGGUGCAUCCAUGCAGACGGAUGGUGCAGAGCAGUCUGGAUCUGGGGUCCGCGCCGAAGCUGCCGAGGAUCGCGUGCUCUUCAACAACUGCGUGGCGCAGGUGCAGCGCCACCUCAAGACGCACGCGGAUUCGCCCAGCACGCUCCACACGCUCGCCUCUUACUACACCAAAACAGAGCCUUUCAUCGAGGGCCGCCCCUUUUGCGUGACCCUGAGCUACGCCACCUUUCUGUUUCACAUGCAAAUGGCCCGCAUCAGCGUCGCGGAUGUGGAGCUGUACGUGCAGCUUGUCACCAGCGUCUUGUCGCAGAUCACCGAGGAUGAUCAACUUCACCACCCAUUUGUGCAGCAGGUGCUUCGCGAUCACGUGUUCGGUCUGCCGUCGCCGACCUGCCGCGGCGCGGCCCACAGUGUGGUGCUCUUGUCGCCGCAGCAGUACCGUGCCUUUGCGACGAUGACCACUGCGCUUAUUUCCCUCGCUGUGGUGCCGCUCAGCAUUGUGUACCAGUUCCACGAUCGACUCGAGACGUACUGCGAGUGCGCCUCACCGCUUGUAGCCAACCGUGCCUUGGCGCUGCUCGUGCAGACAGUGGGCGAGGUGCGCAUGGACGAGCAGGUCACCGCACUCCAGUACGUCCUGAAGACGAAGCCGGUUAAGAUGAAUGUGGACUUCCUCCUUGCUUGCUACGAGCGUCUGAAGCGCGCGGUGAUCGACCCGGCGCACGGACCGUCAUUCGGCCGCGCCCUCUCCAUCCACUGUAGUGAGCUCUUCCUGCGCUUCCGGUCCCCGGUGCGGCGCGACUACGUGGAGCGCUUCCUGUACCCGAGUCUGUGCCACAGCGACAUGGCCGGCUUCCUGGAGAUACCUGCAACGCGCAAGCACCUGCUACGCGAGCUGCUGUCGCAGUGCACGCCUGGCAUGGGAACUAUGAAUCCCUUCUACAUGUGCCUCUGCGCCGUCCUGCAAAGCUGCUUCGACAACGAGACGGACGGCGCGCUCGAGACGGUGGCCCUCAUCAACUGCCAUAUGCCACACGCCGCUUAUUUCAUGUCCACCCUGGCUGUUGACUCGCACAUGUCUGUGCCGAUGUUUGCAAAAGUGAUGAUAUCGCUCGCGCGCGGCGCCGGGAUGGCAAUGACAGGCCGCGAGACGCCUGACGAGGUGGCCGCCUCGAUCAACGAGAACCGAACGAGCGUGUAUAAUGUGCUCUUCCUGCUCCGCGAGGUAGUUCGCAGCUGCUCCACCACCGCCUCUCGCCGCGCCACCGACAUGCUCAAGGCACUGCGGGUCGCUGUGGCUCCGAAGACGAUUGAGGCGCUCGGAAAGUUGUCCAGCGAGGCCUUCGAGGCCGUCAGCGACAUCACGCUCGAUCCGCAGCUGCUGUGCGCAGAGCUGGCGAUGGUGUUGCAUCAGGAUCACAUCGCAGAGGCCAUGGACUCGGCAGUAGAGUACUUUCGCGACGUCCGGUCGAGGUGUCCGUACUGCGCGGCGGCGCGCAGCUCUUCGCUGCUGUGCCCCGUCAACAGCACGGUGCACGUCGCCGGCCAGGCGUCGGUGAGCCGCGUGCUGUCGACGCUAUCGGAGUGCGCUGGCGCGAAGGCUGUGGAGGAGAAGCUGAUCGGCUAUCUGCGCGAUCCAGCCUUGCAGAUGGAAAGCGCCGUGCACUACCUCAUCUACCACAUCAUCGCGAAUGGCGGGCAGCACCGUAAUACGCUCUUCGUGGCUGUGGAGCCGUACGUGCGCAGCACAUUACUGGCUUUGGUGAGCGCAGACCGCAGCGGGGUCCGCGGGCUCGUGGACAGCACGCUGAAGGCAAACGUGCUCAUGCUGCACGUGAAGCUUGUCACGCUCCUUGCCUCCUCCAUUGACCCGUCUUACCUAGAGAGCAUCUUGAAAGUCUUCUCGGAGCUGAGGGUGCGCAACAACCACGACGCGCUCGCGCUCUGGUACAUGGGCAAUGUGCUGCUGCGCAGCUGCCGCGGCAAUCUAGAGCUGCUACCCACCGACCCCCAGGAGAACAACUACUGCGUUGCCUUCCCUGGCUGCGCACCGGCAAGCGCGACGACCGCCGACAACGCGCAGCUCGUGCUGAAGCUGCUGCACCGCGCGCACAGCUUCAGCCCUGAGAUGAACAAACUGGUUGGGUGCUGCGUGUGCAAGCUGAUCCAGGACUUCAACAUGCAGGCCCCAAAUAUUUGCAGCACCUUGCUGUCGCCUUUCGGCUUCUUCCCAGUCGGGCUUGAGUCACUGAACGCCUUCGCCCUUCCCGCAGGCGCCGGCAGCACCUUCUGGAGCUUCUUUUUGCAGCAGAUGCGCAGCUCUGCGCCGGCGCGGACGGCGUUCAUGGCGACGCUGGCCAAAAGUCUGUCGCGGCGCUUCCGCAUUGCAUCGCCAAGAGACGCGCUCGCCCCGCACGGGGUGGAGCCGACGGGGCACCUGUUCGUCAUCAUGGUCUACGAGGCGAUGAAGCGUAACCCACCACUGGCGCGCGUGCUGCUCUACAUGGUGUCGCACUGGAUGAAGCAGGCAGGCCACCCGCCCGGCAAGCUAGCAUGCCUCGUGUACGUGUGCGUGCAGCUCAUCACAGUCGUCGUCGACCGUGCAGAGGGCCCGGCAGCGGCAGAGGUGGAGGCGGAGACGCCGCAGGAUCGGCAGCAGUUUGACGACGCCGUGAAGAAGGCGGCACGGGUGCUGAAGAGUCAGCAGACGCGCCUCGACAAACUAGCCCCGACGGCGCGGCGCGAUAACAUCGAAUUCUUCCACCUGCUGCGCCGUUUGCAGCGCCGCGUGCGCUGCACUGUGGCCGCCGCCUCAGGUGAGAUUGUUGUUGGCGACGAAGCCGCGGAGGAGUGCGACGACCACGAUGACGCCGUUGACGCCAGCCGAGCUGGCGGGCAUGUGCGGCAGGACUCCAUCACAGACGCGGUGUGUGCCAUGCAGGAGCUGCAGAAUGCCGCUGACAAUAGUGUGUUCGACGACUACGCCGAUGAUGUCGACCACGAGGACGACGGCGCUUACGGGAACGAUGAUGGCGCCUGUGACGCCGCUUCUCCAGGCCUUGGGCGUUCCGCUCAGACGGAGGGCAGCGGCGACAGGGCGGAGGGCCCGCCUGCCCCAAUGCGGAUUCGCCACUUGCCGCAAGGCAUUACCAGCAUCCUGCGCUCGCCCGCGCGGAGCAGCCCCGACAAGAGCGACAGGGGUGCCGCCAGCGUGGAGACGGGCUCGACGACCUCUGUGAACACGUAUCGUGAAGCGAACAGGCAAAUCGACGUCGAGGACGUCCCGCAUGAUGCGGAUGGCGCCGAUGCAGAGAUGCGCAGUCACCAUGGCAAAGCUGCCCACAGCUGUGCGCUGGGAGCUGAGCCUCGUACCCGGUCGACGUCUCGCGGCGUGCAGACGGACACGUCUCUGACCAGCCCCGCGCUGUCCGGGCACGCGCCGCAGCGGAGCGUGGGCACGUCACCGAUACAACCGGCGGGCACCUCGUCGCACAUCUUGGUCACGCGACGCGACGGCAUACAGCUGCCCUGUCGCGCACCUGCCGACGCCGGCUCUGCGCACACUCUCUCCUCCUCCCUCUAUCAGCCACAGCGCUCCCACACACGGCCGCCAGAGGCCGAUAGCGUGCUCAGCGAGGGUACUCGGACUCCAGCGCAGCGAGGAUCGACGUGGCGUGAGCCGGAUCUGGCCGACUACGUGGACGGUGACACCACCCCGAUCGACGACUACACCGGCGUGCCGCGGCUGCAGGCGACCACCACGAGUGACGGUAUUGUGUUGCCCUCUGGUAUGGUGCUCGAGUACCUGCGCACACACCAAGGGAUGGACUCGCUGCAGCACGAGCUGAGACAGUUUGACCAGCAGUGGAUGAUGCAGCAGGUUGCUGAGUACGUGUCGCAGAACGGCGGCAUGGUCGGCGCUGCUGGUCCGUCGUCGGCUCUUAGGGGUGGUGUGUCGUCUGUGCAGUUCGUCACGGUGGAAGGCCGCGCCAACAACUACAGCCGCCCGCACGCCGAUCCAACUGAACUUGCGCCGACCCGCACGGUACGCACAGAGGUGCGCAUGGCAGGGCCAGCCACGUCCUACUCGCGGCCACCUAGACAGGAGGAGCACGGGCCUGUCGUAGCAGCCGCGCCGGGCCUGCCUGAAGAAGAGGAGGUGGACGUAGUUGAUGGCGAACACCCUAUUCGCGCCGUCAGCGGCCCCCCAGACGACAGCGACUUUGCCGGAGGCGCAGGCGACGACGAAACGACUAAGCGCCGACGUGUGGAGGCCACCGAAGGCAACGCGACAACGCCGCUGCCACCGCCAGUCUCCCCCACAAGCGCUUUCCGCGGCCGCAACUUCUUCUUGAACCAGCAUACGCAGCAGGAGGUGAGCUCGACGCUGCAGGACAUCCACUACCUGCAGAGGAGGCAGCAGGCAAACAUGUCGGCGCUGGCCAAGGCACAAAGCGCGGCUGAGACGGCGGAGUCGACGGGCGACGACGAGGCACCGCGCAAGACACCACACCAGGGUCAGUCCUCCACUGGCGUGGCGGGUGAGGGUGUGCCGCCGACAACGCCGUACGGACAGGUUAUCCUUCCAACUUGGAUCGUGGAGCAGCGCAACGACACCGCCAUCCGUGAGUUGCGACAGGUGAUGGGGGCUCACAACCCGAAUGACAGUCGACUAUCAACGAGCGCGGGCAAGCGCAGCCGCAUUCACGGCAGCGGCACAGGCGACGGCAGCGGCAACAGCGCUGCGUGGUGGGCUGAGAUGAGCUCGGCGCCGAUGCCCAACUACGCUGCUGACCCCCAGUACUCCAUGGAGCUCUUUUAGAGCAUUGCGGUGCGCUGUGCCGAUCUGUUUGCGAGAGGCCUCGUGCAUGGCUGCGGCUCAUCCUCCACGUCGGCUUACAUGGCGCACGCGCUUCGUCUUUCUCUCACUCGUUGACAUGCUCAACCCCCUCCCCCUGUGCAUCUCCUUCUCGCCCAGGUGUACCGGUGCACAGGCGGAGGCACGUAGAUGCUUUUGUUUGGCUUUAUAGAUGCACUUCUACACUUUUUCUUUCUUUGCAACACCGCAGGGUUCAUUCAUAGACGCGCACCUCUGCCAAUCGUGAGCAUAAUGAGAGCGCUCGCGCAAGAUAUUGUGGAGACUUGGCGCGCUUCUCUGCAGGGGAGGAGGGGGGCUUACCGCUUUUUUGUUUCGUUUUCCUUUUCUUUGUUAGAUGCUGUUCUCCCUGUAUUUCUUUUUUUCUGCCUGUGAUGCGCCCAUGCGUGCAUUCGCCUCUUGUUACUGAUAUAGACGCACAUGCAAUUUACAGAAGGAAAACGAAUGGGCGGCCCGCUCGUGGAAAAUGUAUCCUUUCCGUCGCGCUGCUCGCACAUGUGUUCGGAAAGAGGCUACCGCAGCACCACCGCUGCGUAGGCAUGGUGAGUCGUCGUGAAGCCGACUUAUAAAGCUCCAUAGUGAUCGAUGGAUGCUCACUGGGCAGGAUCAGAUCAGAGGUGAGACCUUUUAGGCACACGAGAGGGGGCUGUUGCGCAUAGACCUCGCGCGGCGGUGACGGCUCACGCUUGCUUGUUCUCUGCCUGGCUGCUCUUCUUUCCUGUAGGGUGAAUGGCCACGUACGGGGUGGCGAUCGUGGUGCUGCGCAUCUCUUCGCCCGACUACCUUCCCCUCCUUUCGCAUGCAUAAUGGAGAGGGAGGAUGGACACGAGAGAGGGGAGACGCGAGCUGUUAGGAGCGCUGUGUUGGUAUAACGGGCCCAGGAACCACCCCACCGCUACCUCUCUUUUUCCAUUCGCUUUUCUUCACCACCCCUCCAUGCCACUCUUUUCUUCUCAUUUCGGGUAG
rnacentral:misc_RNA from 1 species